AAGUCGUAACAAGGUCUCCGUUGGUGAACCAGCGGAGGGAUCAUUACAGAGUUGCAAAACUCCCAACCAUUGUGAACCUACCUCACCGUUGCUUCGGCGGGUGGCCCAGGGCAACCCAGGCCGCGCCGGCCCCUCCUUCAUGGGCCGGCAAACCCGUCAGAGGACCGAAACUCUUCGUCAUCAGUGGCCUCUCUGAGUAACUUAUACAAUAAGUCAAAACUUUCAACAACGGAUCUCUUGGUUCUG
rnacentral:misc_RNA from 1 species